GUGCUCACUUUGGCAGCACAUAUACUAAAAUUGGAGCAAUACAGAGAAGAUUAUCCUGGCCCCCAUGCAGGGGAAUGUAAAAUGGUGCAACCACUUUGG
ensembl:snRNA U6 U6 spliceosomal RNA